rnacentral:rRNA from 1 species
AAUCAACGCUGGCGGCGUGCCUAACACAUGCAAGUCGAACGAGAAAGGGUAGCAAUACCUGAGUAAAGUGGCGACCGGGUGAGUAACACGUGACUAACCUGCCCUUGAAUGGGGAAUAACCUCGGGAAACCGGGGCUAAUACCGCAUAACGUCCAGAGGCUGAGAUGCCAUUGGACCAAAGGAACAAUUCGUUGAAGGAGGGGGUCGCGGUUGAUUAGCUAGUUGGAGGGGUAAUGGCCCACCAAGGCGAUGAUCAAUAGCCGGCCUGAGAGGGCGCACGGCCACACUGGAACUGAAACACGGUCCAGACUCCUACGGGAGGCAGCAGUGGGGAAUUUUGCGCAAUGGGGGAAACCCUGACGCAGCAACGCCGCGUGAAGGAUGAAGGUCUUUGGAUUGUAAACUUCUUUCGUCCGGGAAGAUAAUGACGGUACCGGAAUAAGAAGCCCCGGCUAACUUCGUGCCAGCCGCCGCAGUAAAAC